GCAUUGGUGGUUCAGUGGUAGAAUUCUUGCCUGCCACGUGGGAGACCCGGGUCCGAUUCCCGGCCAAUGCA
rnacentral:tRNA from 1 species